AUCCCUCGCGGGUGCACCGCC
rnacentral:snRNA from 1 species